UUCGGGGUGAGCGGCGGACGGGUUAGUAACGCGUGGGAACGUGCCCUUCUCUAAGGAAUAGCCACUGGAAACGGUGAGUAAUACCUUAUACGCCCCCCAAUCAAAUUCCAUUUGGUUGACGGAAAUUCCGUUGAAUGCCGGAUGGCAUUUGAUGGGGGGGAAAGAUUUAUCGGAGAAGGAUCGGCCCGCGUUAGAUUAGAUAGUUGGUGGGGUAAUGGCCUACCAAGUCUACGAUCUAUAGCUGGUUUUAGAGGAUGAUCAGCAACACUGGGACUGAGACACGGCCCAGACUCCUACGGGAGGCAGCAGUAGGGAAUCUUGGACAAUGGGCGCAAGCCUGAUCCAGCCAUGCCGCGUGAGUGAAGAAGGCCUUAGGGUCGUAAAGCUCUUUCGCCUGUGAUGAUAAUGACAGUAGCAGGUAAAGAAACCCCGGCUAACUCCGUGCCAGCAGCCGCGGUAAUACGGAGGGGGUUAGCGUUGUUCGGAAUUACUGGGCGUAAAGCGCGCGUAGGCGGAUUGGAAAGUUAGAGGUGCAAUCCCGGGGCUCAACCCCGGAACGGCCUUUAAAACUCCCAGUCUAGAGUUCGAGAGAGGUGAGUGGAAUUCCAAGUGUAGAGGUGAAAUUCGUAGAUAUUUGGAGGAACACCAGUGGCGAAGGCGGCUCACUGGCUCGAUACUGACGCUGAGGUGCG
rnacentral:rRNA from 1 species